rnacentral:rRNA from 1 species
AGAGUUUGAUCAUGGCUCAGGACGAACGCUGGCGGCGUGCCUAAUACAUGCAAGUAGAACGCUGAAGAAAGGAGCUUGCUUCUUUUGGAUGAGUUGCGAACGGGUGAGUAACGCGUAGGUAACCUGCCUUGUAGCGGGGGAUAACUAUUGGAAACGAUAGCUAAUACCGCAUAACAGCUUUUGACACAUGUUAGAAGCUUGAAAGAUGCAAUUGCAUCGCUACGAGAUGGACCUGCGUUGUAUUAGCUAGUAGGUAGGGUAACGGCCUACCUAGGCGACGAUACAUAGCCGACCUGAGAGGGUGAUCGGCCACACUGGGACUGAGACACGGCCCAGACUCCUACGGGAGGCAGCAGUAGGGAAUCUUCGGCAAUGGGGGCAACCCUGACCGAGCAACGCCGCGUGAGUGAAGAAGGUUUUCGGAUCGUAAAGCUCUGUUGUAAGAGAAGAACGUGUGUGAGAGUGGAAAGUUCACACAGUGACGGUAACUUACCAGAAAGGGACGGCUAACUACGUGCCAGCAGCCGCGGUAAUACGUAGGUCCCGAGCGUUGUCCGGAUUUAUUGGGCGUAAAGCGAGCGCAGGCGGUUUAAUAAGUCUGAAGUUAAAGGCAGUGGCUUAACCAUUGUUCGCUUUGGAAACUGUUAAACUUGAGUGCAGAAGGGGAGAGUGGAAUUCCAUGUGUAGCGGUGAAAUGCGUAGAUAUAUGGAGGAACACCGGUGGCGAAAGCGGCUCUCUGGUCUGUAACUGACGCUGAGGCUCGAAAGCGUGGGGAGCAAACAGGAUUAGAUACCCUGGUAGUCCACGCCGUAAACGAUGAGUGCUAGGUGUUAGGCCCUUUCCGGGGCUUAGUGCCGCAGCUAACGCAUUAAGCACUCCGCCUGGGGAGUACGACCGCAAGGUUGAAACUCAAAGGAAUUGACGG